UGACAGAUAUAAUACUUAUUUCAUUAUUGCUCUGUGUAUGUGUGACCUUCAUCAUUUGAGGUUAUGUGUUGAUUUCACCUCUGAAUAUUUCCUCUUAUAGGUCCAUCAUCCUUGCACACACUCAAAAGCAUUGAUAAAUGCUGAAUUUAAAAGAAUCACUACUGUCUAAUGUUCCUGCGUGUCACCUGGACCUCCAAUCCAAAAACCUGAUGAAACUCUUCUAUCAGAAAGGAUGACAGCUAGCAAAAAGACUUCAAACAAUUAAUGAUCAAAUGACAGAAGGCAUGGAUGAAGUCAGCAUCAGUGAGGUCAUUUGAAGACACCAAUGUUGGGAUUUGUGCUCUCAAACAACAUGCUUCUUGUGAUGAAGAAGAGGAUCUUUGUAUAGUCCUGGAAGCCAUGAAGGUGUUGCAACAUCGUGUUUGAGCUGAUGUAUGCCUUAAACCUGAUCUCCGCUUUAUUUUUGAGGAAAUCCAAACUGCAUUGAGAGUAACUUUAACGAACAGUUUCUUUCAGUGAAAGGAUCAGAAAGACUGUGCUGCUCAUUUUUGAAUUUUUUAUCUGUUUUAAGUGUUUUCUCUUAUUAAUACAUUAACAGUUUGCUGCUCAGAGACGAUUUUGGAAAUGGUUGUUGUAUUUUGUUUUUGUUGAAUCUUUGAUUUAACAGUUUAUAAAUGCUGUAGUUCUGACUUUCUGAAGGAUUGAUAUUUUCCAGUUUGUAAAUCCAUUUUAUAAAUAAUAGUACUUACUGUUUUGCAUGUCUCUUUGGAAUGCAGUGUUUGUGCUUUAGCACUUCUAAAUCUACUGUGAUAGUAACUAUUUUAAACAUUUGGGUCAGUUUCACAGAUGGGGCUUUUCCUAGUCCCAGACUUUUGCAAUGCCAUAUAUCAGUGCCAUUGUUUUGUCUAAAGAUGUACUCCAGUGUUGUUUUUGUAAGGUAGGUUUGUUUGUAAACUUUAUUUUAUUAAAAAUAUCCUAAUAUAACGAGGGCCUAGUCAUGGAUUAAUCUACAACCUGUUUGGGAAAUUGCCCCUUUAUGUAUGUACUGCAUGUGCUGAUUGUUGUAAUAGUUAUUGACUGUUAUUGAAUUAAUGUGUAGUGAUUUAAAUGAAUUGAUGAUCUGAAAGCAGUGGUUUGCCUCAAUAUCACUAAACAUUUGUACAAAACUCUUUGCUUUUUAUGCCAAUGCAAAUGUAUUUUGUAUUUUAAAAAAAAUAAAUAACAUUUGGAUAA